ACUGCCUGCUACGGCAGCGCAUACUAAAAUUGGAUUGAUACAGAGAAGAUUAGCAUGGCCCCUCUUACCACAAUGCUCGAUCCUAAUGGAUAGAAGCAUCCUCUUAUC